GCAGCGCUAAAAAGGAAAAAAGAAAGAAAGAAAGAAAAAAGGCAUAUCUGAAAGCAAACUCCUUUCUUCCUCUCUAAAUUCCUUGCACAAUGACUUUUCUGAGUUCAGGAGAUUUUAGAAGCUAUGCUCUAGUCUGAUUCUCCCACUCUUUGGGAUAGACUUAUCUAAUUAGGCAUCAAGAAUAAUCUAGAUUUUUCUCUUCACCCUCGUCCCCAUUUUCCAAAAAAUACGUCACAUUCAAUUCUUAGCUGGAUUGUGUGGUGACUUUCCCUGUACCUCCUGUAAAAAUGAAUUUUUAAAGUAGAAACCAAAGGAAACACUCUGUAAUAUUUUCAUCAUGUGUCAUUUAAGACUCUCCUACAAUAAAAGCACAUAAGCAUUUUUAUUAAUGAACUGAAUUUUGUGAUUUGGACAGAAAAUGUGUUUGCUCUGAGAUGGCCUCAAUAUUUCCAAGUCGCAUCUUAGAUGAUGUGUAUGUGCAGUGAAGUAUGAGGAUGGACUGAGAUUUAUGAAUUUAUAAUAGGUGCCACACUGGUAAGAGCUAAAGGCAGAAAGUUGUGUAUGACUAAAGAAAACCAGAGAAACAGCUUUCAAGAAAUCAUGGGACCAACUAGCCUGCACUUGACCUGACCAAAUGCAAACUGAGAAAAGGAAGCAGCUUCUAAAUUUGAAAUCAAACCAGGGCAGAGAAGCUACAAAUUAGGAAUCAGAGAGUGAAGAUGGAUGAAGCCUGGGACCUGUAAGGAGAAGGAAAGCUCCAUACCUGGUAUACUGGCCCUAAUGGCAGGGAAAGUUUUGGCUGCACAGGUUAAAAGAAUCAAAACUGUUUAUAUGUUUCCUCUGAGACAUCAUGGCUCUUAAAAAAUUCUUGGCAAUGUUUCAAUUAUACUACAGAAAUCUGUUCAAUGUGGGCUCUCAGAUUUCAGCCAGGGAUUUGCUGUCAAAUGUUUUGGUUCUGAUUCACGGCAAAUUUUCACAUCAUUUAUAGGAAAGUUUCUGAUUAACUCAGAGAACAUACAUAUACAGGACGUUGAAAAAGCAUGUUUUCAAAUCUUAAAAGGAAAAAGAAUCAUUUUAAAUCUCCUCUGUAUUUAUAUAUUAAAAAUCCACCCAUGUACUCUUUCAUACCUAAAGAGGUCCUUGGUUCCUCUUAUGUGGAAUGCAAUUUACAUGUAAUGAUUUGUUUCACUUGUUAAAAAAAAAAUAUGCAGCUGCACUGCAUAAAAUCUUGCAGAUACUUUAUGAUGAUUUUCAGAAAUUGGGUUCCUUAAUACUCCAUUUGCUUUGCCUAGAAGAAUGCUCCAAAUGGACUGUUGCAACAUCUCAGCUUUCUUUUGUUAUUCUUCUUGGUAGAUUCAAUGGACAGGCUAUACUUGUAAUCAAACUUGUGCCUCCUGAAGUUGUCAGUUUUGGUCUGAAACAGCAUGACUGAAGGUUCGUUUGUCUUGUCAGAGUCCAAAAGGGCACCUGAGUUUUAUCCCUGGCUCCCUCCCUUUCUUUGCUUUUCAGAAUAACCUGCAGUGUCACUUGGAUUUUGGCCUUCACUCCUGGGCGUGUGCAUACUGGCGGGAGAGGCUUCUUCUGUUUGCCUUCCUACUGGAAGGAGUUGAGGCUGGAAGGAGUGGGAAAAUGAAAUUUGAAGGUAUUAAUUUUUAAACUCCCGAAUCAGCUGCUGUACCUGUCACUUUAGGCUGCUGAAUUUCAUUAGUGUUGACAGAGAUGAACGACAUGUCCUAAUUGAGGGCUGGCACCUACAGGUUGACAGCACUGGCUUCUUUAUCAGCAGGAGCAUAAGAGCCUCAUUUCCCAUGUUUGAUGUUCUGAGAAGCAGUCACCAUCUCCAGGGAAUGAGUAGCAGGUAGAGGGCAAUGGACCUGCAAGCCAGCAUCCAAGGAAAAUCUCUUCUUCUUUCUCUCUCCCUUUCUCCUUUUCAGCUACUAUGGUUGCAUCUUUGUAAGCCUUCAAUAAUAGAAGUGGAAGAAAAGAGGGUGAAUGAGGAUAGGAAGAAGCGACAUAGAGAAAAGGGAAACGUAUGACAGGAGAGAAGAAAUGAGAGUACAAAUAUUUGAGCUCAUUUAAACGAAAUCUCAUGAUUUUUAUACUGUGUCUUCAGGUCAUUUUUCUUUUCAGUUUAAUCAGUUAUUUAAAAGCAAUAGCUUUGAAUCGACAUUCUGUCCAUAUGUGCAGUUGCAUGAAUACAAAAUUUACUUAUACUAAUAAAUCUGGUAUGACUUUAUUUAACUAAAACUAUACUCAGAUGUGAUCAAAAGGGUUCAAUUGAUUGUAUUUCUCUCUACCAUUCCUUUUCUGUGCAAAUGAAUACAUGCUUAGCAUUGUCAUAUACAAUACACACUUACACAGCUAGCCAUAUAUGGUAUGCACUAGACAGUCAAUAACUGCUCAUUUAGUAAGGUUUGGUAAGGGAGCAAUUCAUGAAUGAAACUUUGUUUCAUUAGUUUAAUAUAUAUGUAUGUGUAUGUUAUAUAUCUCAGCAUGUUUUACUUACAACCUUAAAAUAUUUUAAAACACAGAAUUAUUUAAUAUAUUUUUUAAUGUAUGCACUAUUUGGCUUUGUCCACAGGCUAUUCUGUAAUGGUUCUGCAGGUCAGUAGCAAUUAAGAAUAUUUGACUCAGAUCAGAAUUUCAGACAUAUUUUUGCCACUUAUUGUGUGUAUAAUCUUGGUAAAAUCACUUAAACUACAAAUUAGUAAGAAAACAAAAGGAUACUUCUAUACAAAAACAAGGAGAUAUUUUCAAUAGGUACUUCCCCCCAAAGGCCUAUAACCAUCAGAGAAAGUCAUGGUUGCAUCAUAAUGAAAUACCACUACACAGUCAGAAGAAUGGUAGACAUUAGAAAGCUUGACAAUACUUUAAUAGUAACUCAUCAAUUUCUGAUGUAAUUAUAAAAUGGUGAAACCACUUUCUACUAUCUAAUGAAGAUAUGUAUAGGUAUAUCCUUAUAAUCCAACAAUUCCAUUUCUAAGUAUGUGUCCUAGAGAAAUGCAUGCAUAUAUGCACCAGAAGAUAGGAAUAACGAAAGUUUUAGACACAUUAUUCAAAACAAUCACAAAGUAAAAAUAAUCCUAAUAUCAUCAAUAGGGCAAUGGAUAAAUCAUGAAUUAGGAAAAAUGAUUGAACUGAAGUUAUAAACAAUGCCAUCAAUGAAUUUUAAUCAACAUAAGGCUGAACUGAAGAAACCAGACAUAAGUGAAGAAAGACUAUAAGAUUUUGAUUAUGAAAGGUCUUAACCACUUUGUAUGAGGGGGGAUAUUUAAACAGUAAAGCAAUAAUAUGAUUAGUAUAAAAGUUGAGAUAGUAGUCAUCUUUAAGGAGGAGGAAGGAGGUUGAAUUAGCAAGUGACACUUAGUGUCUGGGGAGCUGGUAAUACUCUAUUUUUUUGACCUGGGUGGCACUUACCUGUACUUUUAUACUUUGUACACUUAUUUACACGUGGUGUUUUCACAACACAAAUAAAUCUUUACAAUGCAAUACUUUUAGCUCUUUGUACCUAUUUCUGCCAGUUCUCCCAAGGAAGAAAUUCACAGUAUCAUAAGCAGCUAUAUUUGGCUUUUAAAAUCCAAUCGAACAUUUCCAAUUUUUAACCCCAUCUCCUUAAUCCCAUAAAUAUUCCAUCUCUUUGACCCAGUGUCCUUAGAUUAAAGUUAGGCAUCUUGAAGCAGAAUGUUUUAAAUGAUUACUUUUGCCUAGUGCCCUUUCAAAAGAAUCAGACCAGCUAGGAGAAAAAGUCCCCCUUUGUUGGUAGUUGGGCGUGGUUAAGAUUUGAGCUCAUAAUUCUUCCCCUUGAUUGUGUCGAUCAUAUUCUUUGGCAUGCCUCCCAUAGGUUUUUUUUCCAAAUUUGCUCCGCAUCCCUUGUGUGAAAGUAAGCCAUCUUCCAACAGACUGUGUGGGAUUUCUGAGGACCCUCAUUCUGACUGUUAGGUCCUACACUCUCUCUUUCCUCUUGUGCAGGCCAUCAAGAUAAGGCAUUGGGAGAGAACUGGGCUUCCUUAGAGUCACUCUCUGGGUCCUCUACCAAUAGGUAGUUCACACUCAACCUUAAGAAAGUUUGGGAAUUUCUAAGACAGCAAUUUGGCUAGGGUAUUAUCUAAUCUGUUUGGUGAAUUGCGAAAGGACCUGAGAUUAGACCUGAGUCUGAGGCAACUGGGAGUUCAAGAUAAGGGGAGGGGAUGAGUCUCAGGGUGGAAAUCCCCAGGAUGGAAAAACGCAGCUAACAACUUUCUUUCAUUUUAUUCCUUUAGACAGUCCUUCCCUCAGGCUCACCGUCAAACUCUCAGGGAAGAAGUAUUAGGGAAAAGGAUUUAUCCCCAACCCUGGUGUGGACCUUCAGUUAAGUCCUAUAUCAAUGGUCCGGGGUAAGGAAAGAUAAGAACUGAUGCAGUCUUUUUAUAUUUCUCAUUUCCAAGUGGCCACCAGUUGCCCUCCUUUUCUGGUUGCCAUGUAGAAUAGCCUUCAGGUUCUCCAAAAUUUUCUUGUUGCUGCUAUUCUUGUUGUUUCCUGCAUUACAUGUUUUAGUCUGUAUUUUUUUUUUCAAGGGUUUCUGUGUGCGUGUGUGUAUGUGUGUGUGUGGUGGCAGGUAGAGAAAUUCAAUUUAGUGAGAUGGAGAGCCUGAGUCCGACUGUGCUUGGGUAUAUGUGGGCUUGACAAGCAGAUGCUAACAUAGGCCCAGAUCCUAGAAAACUAUAGAAUUCAUUACAUCUUAAGUGUGUUGUGGAUCUAGUCAGAAUCUGGAGGCAAGGCUACCAGGGAGCAUAAAGGCAAGAAAUCAGGUCUGGAAAAUACAGAAGGAAGAAAGGGCAAGAAGGCCAAAAUCAUGUGGACAGAAUAAUCCACACAGGUUGCGGGUGGGAUAUUAUUAGCCUCUCAUGCACGUUAAAGACAUGGAAUAUGUACUCAGCAUAGUGUAACUAUGCAUUGAAUUCAGUGAUGCAACUUUUAAAGAGAGUUAUUGAAUAUUUUCCACUUCUAUCAUCAUUAAUUACCUAUUUUGUAUCCUAUACUCCUCAAGGAUAAUGGGAACCUGACAUGCAGUGUGGGGGAGCUAGUGGUAGAGAAUGACAUAUAAAACAUAAUAUGUAUAAUAAUAUAGACUCAGGUACUUCAAUUUCAAGCUGAUUGGACUAAGUGCACAGAUGAAGGAAUUUGAUCUCAUGCAAGGACAGGAAAUCUUCUUCCACUGUAAUAUGACAAAGGGUAAAGUGUUGGUGUUGAAAAGCAGGGGGAGUUGAUUUUUCUCAGGUAAGAAGCUGAAAGUAUCACCUAGUAUGGAUGAGAAGUUGGCAAAAAUGUGAAGAUCUGGGGAGAGGGUUAAAGGUUUAAAACAGCAGAGCACAGAAUCAGAGAGAGGAGUAUGGAAACACAGACAUAUUGUCAAGACAAGUAAGACCAGUUGAAAAUCAUGAAUCUACAGUAAACCAAUAUGGGUAAUUUUGUGGUAUUUUUAGCCAUUUGUAACCAUCCAGGUUGGAUACAUCCAUGAUUGAAGUUGUUUAAUGGGACCGAAGGAAAGAAAAUACAAGAAGAUUUGGGGACACUGGGCAAGAGAACUAGUUGGCUGUUGCAAAAUGAAGUGUUGAUGUGAUAUUGAACCUCUUGUUAAAUACAUAUUCACAGUCAAGAUGAUAUGUUCAAGAUUGAAGGACAACAACCUAUUCAACAGUAACUAAAACAACCUUCUAUUAGUUGAAUGGUAUUAAUUUCUCUUUAAAACAGCUUUGUUUAGAAAUUAAAAGAAAAUUAUAUGCAAGCUAAACACCUUGAAGUCUUCCAACACUUUUUUUUUGUUUCAGUCUAUAAAAAUAUUUAAAAGAGCUACAAAAUUGGGUAAUUUGAGAAGCAGUUACCAGACAAAAUUUGACCUUUUUAGCAAUGAAUGUGCUAGAAAAUGAAAAAAGGUUUAGAUGGGAUGAUGACUUAAGUGCCACCUCAUUAAGGUACAGAGAUAUACUUGCCAAGAUAUUUGAAGAAGAGCUUAAAUAAAAAGGGUGUGAACAUAAUCUGUGGCUGAUUUUCUCACCUCAGAAAAUAUACUUUAUGACUAAGGCAAACACAAAGAGUGAAAAUAAUAAGUCUGGUUUCUAAGUUUUUAGCUUUUGUCUGUAACAAGUAGGUAGAAAACAUGUUCCCUUCAAGUUAAAAUUCAUCACAAUGGAACUCAAUAACCACUUAAUAUGAUUACAGACUGAAUCCAGCAAAACAUCAGUGCUGAUGACAAUGGAGAACAGAGAUGUGCCAUUAUUAGUAGAUACCUGAAAGAACCUCUCAAAUUGAUAAUGAACACCUUGGCAACACUAGGAUGGAAGUACUACUCAGUACUUUGAGGUCACUCUGGUUGUGAAAGUUGAUGAACAUGGAGAUAACUUAGAGUGCCAUCAGUGACUAGAUUCUGGCCAGAAAGGAGCAGAAAAGAAGGGAUGCCUCCUUAAAGAAAUACUUCCAAAUGGCUAUCUCGAACUGUGGUUACAAACUGGGAGCUGAUGACAUCUCUGGUGUCUAGGAACAGAAGGGAGAAUCCAUCUGUUGGCAGGAAGAGAAAAAAGAAGGUACACAAGGUGUCCUAUUUGUUACUGGGAGAGUGGUGUUAAAGUUUCCAAUGGAGGCCAUCAUGACCUCUUAAAUCUGUAAGAGUUGACCCUUAUGGAUUUAAAUGAAGAAUUUGGGAGCAGAACCUCAGCUAACCCAUGAUGAAUACAUACUGUGGUCAAGAAAUAACUACUAUUGUUGUAAG